rnacentral:rRNA from 1 species
UACGUAGGGUGCGAGCGUUAAUCGGAAUUACUGGGCGUAAAGCGUGCGCAGGCGGUUCGUUAAGUCAGAUGUGAAAGCCCCGGGCUCAACCUGGGAACUGCAUUUGAAACUGGCGGGCUUGAGUGCGGCAGAGGGGGGUGGGAAUUCCGCGUGUAGCAGUGAAAUGCGUAGAUAUCAGGAGGAACACCGGUGGCGAAGGCGGCUCUCUGGACGGUGACUGACGCUGAGACGCGAAAGCGUGGGGAGCAAACAGG